CUCCUCUCCGGCUGCUCCCCUCCCAUCAUGCCCCGCGUGGGACCAGCUUCCCCCAUUUCCGAGAGAGGUGGAGACUGAGGGUUACUGAGCCCAGAGUACCUCUGCAGUGGCCACUGUGAGCCAGGCGGUGAGAGGAAAAUGAGGCCGGGUAGGGCAUGGAGGAGCUCUGAAUCCAGUACUUAUUACUUCCCUUUCUGGUGGAAGGAGAAGGGGUGGAAGUGAAACAGCUCAGCGGGGCUCAGCCAACCAGAAAACGUCAGGAGGGACUUCUCGGUGCCUGGGAAAGAGGCGAGAACCGACAUGGCUGAGAAAAUCCUAACCUAUGUGGGGUUCAGGGAUAAGAGGAAGAGAACAAAAGUGGAGACAUGAUAAUCACCUUCCUUUUAAUGGGAUCAAUUGGAAAUACAUCUAUGAAAUUGA